CCUACGGGAGGCAGCAGUAGGGAAUCUCCACAAUGGACGAAAGUCUGAUGGAGCAACGCCGCGUGAGUGAAGAAGGGUUUCGGCUCGUAAAGCCCUGUUGGGAGUGGAGAAAGAUAGAAGUAGUAACUGGCCUUCUUUUGACGGUAAUUAAUUAGAAAGUUACGGCUAACUACCUGCCCGCAGCCGCGGUAAUACGUAGGUGGCCAGGCUUGUCCGGAUUUAUUGGGCGUAAAGCGCGUGCAGGCGGUUCAAUAAGUUUGAUGUGAAAGCCUUCGGCUCAACCGGAGAAUUGCAUCAGAAACUGUUGAACUUGAGUGCAGAAGAGGAGAGUGGAACUCCAUGUGUAGCGGUGGAAUGCGUAGAUAUAUGGAAGAACACCAGUGGCGAAGGCGGCUCUCUGGUCUGCAACUGACGCUGAGGCUCGAAAGCAUGGGUAGCGAACAGGAUUAGAUACCCCGGUAGUC
rnacentral:rRNA from 1 species